ACUUGGUCUCAAAUCAGGCAAGACUACCCGCUGAACUUAAGCAUAUCAAUAAGCGGAGGAAGAGAAACUAACAAGGAUUCCCCUAGUAACGGCGAGUGAAGCGGGACCAGCUCAAGGCGGGAAUCGUAAUGCAUUGACUUGUAUUACGAGUUGUAGCCUAUGGGCCGUACAUCUAACCAUAGCAAAGCGGGACAAGUUCCUUGGAAUAGGACGCCAGAGAGGGUGAUAGCCCCGUCUGCCCGAGUGUUGCUAUGGAGAUAUGUUGUAUGGUUCGAGAGUCGGGUUGUUUGGGAAUGCAGCCCUAAGCGGGAGGUAUGCACCUUCCAAAGCUAAAUAUUCAGGCAAGAGACCGAUAGCGAACAAGUACCGUGAGGGAAAGUUGAAAAGCACUCUGGAGAGAGAGUGAAAAGCACGUGAAACCAUUGGUAGGGAAGCGCUUGCACGGUGCAGCUGGCGUCUGUUGUUUCGGCAGCAGGCGUCGCCCAGCACCAGUUUGCUUAUAAUCGCUGGAGAAGCGGGGGGUCAAGGUAGGGCGUUGUGUAUGCGGCGCCUGUUAUAGGGCCCUCUGAGCUACAGUGAGGCGGACUGAGGACCGCGGCAUUCCCUGCAUUUUUUAUGUUAGGGCGCAAGGAUGCAUUGAGCCUGUGGUGCUGCUACGGGGUAAAGACAGCAUGCUGACUUUGCCUGGGCAGUGCUCGGACAUCUCUAUGCAACUUGUACUGAUUGCCAAGGGUUGCUGGGAAGUGCUGAACAAGCGACCCGUCUUGAAACACGGACCAAGGAGUCUAACUUGUGCGCGAGUCACUGGGUUGCUAAACCCACGGGCGUAAUGAAAGUGAGGGGCGCUAUGCGCCUCCUGGUGCGAACCUAAGGGCUUUCGAGCCUUUCGGUGCAGCAUCCGCCGGCCUGCUGCUCUUAUACGGGUGGCAGGACUGAGCGCGAGCGCACAGGCUAGGACCCGAAAGAUGGUGAACUAUACCUGGGUAGGGUGAAGCCAGAGGAAACUCUGGUGGAGGCUCGCAGCGGUUCUGACGUGCAAAUCGAUCGUGGAACCUGGGUAUAGGGGCGAAAGACUAAUCGAACCAUCUAGUAGCUGGUUCCCGCCGAAGUUUCCCUCAGGAUAGCCGGCACAUAUAAACAGUUCUAUGGGGUAGAGCGAAUGAUUAGAGGCCUUGGGGCAAAAAUUGCCUUAACCUAUUCUCAAACUUCCAAUCUGUAGGAAGCCCCCCCUACUUGAGUGAGGGGUGGGCGCAUAGUUGAAUGACAUGUGCUGAGUGGGCCAUUUUUGGUAAGCAGAACUGGCGCUGCGGGAUGAACCGAACGGGGAGAUACGGUGCCGGAAGGCACGCUCAUGUAGAUACCACAAAAGGUGUUAGUUCAUCUAGACAGCAGGACGGUGGCCAUGGAAGUCGGAAUCCGCUAAGGAGUGAACCAGUAAUCAAUAGGCCACAACAAAUGUAUUGUUACACGCUCCAGUUGCUUUUCUAUCUAUCGAAAAGCGGCUAGUGGUAGGCAAAAAAAAAAGUUCUAUUAGAAAUGGUACGAGUCGAGAUGGGGGAGUAGUGUGUUUGGUUGCCUAUGGAUUUCAUAGACAAACUUAUUAUUACUUUACCCUAUGGUUGCCCGUAGUACUAGAGACAGAAUGUUGUAUUAAAAAAAAAGUGAUAGGCUACAGUUACAUAGUGGAUUAUGUAGCCUCGCUUACCUGGUGGUAUUUUAUUACUACCAAGCAAGCACAUUUUGUACUACAACAUUGAAUUUCUAUACCAACUACUGGGUAGCCUGUGAAGCUUGUAUCUAUUACCAAUAGCUGCCUACUGCAACACCUUCAAAUUGUUCUGGGAAGCCCUUAGAGCCUCGGCAGACUCUCCACGGCUGGAAACAGCAUAAACUACUGCAAUGAUCCCUUACCAGGAGAGCUAGUAGACCGUGGCUAUAGUUAAACUUGCCAGGAUUGGGUUAUCAGCAGCCAAGUUCCACGGUAGCGCAAUAGCGAGCGAGGGAGAGAGUACUAACAAGUUUGUUUCUCUCUGCUUUGCUCUGCUCUGCUAUGCUGCCUGGAAUGCAGUUCAGAGACUAGAUGUAGGUGGGCCAUUUUACAAAAAUAAUAAUGGCUUAAGAUAUAGUCCGCCUUCCUUGGAAAUCUCGGAAGACCUAAUGGGUGUAACAACUCACCUGCCGAAUGGACUAGCCCUGAAAAUGGAUGGCGCUUAAGCGUGCUACCUAUACUCCCCCGGCGGCCUGUAAGAACUAAGGAUAGGUCGCCGAGUAGGCGGGCGUGGGGGUGCAAAUAAAGCUGCGAAGGUAUGGGCGUGAGCCUUACUGGAGCCGCCCCUAGUGCAAAUCUUGGUGGUAGUAGCAAAUAUUCAAGUGAGAGCCAUGAAGACUGAAGUGGAGAAGGGUUCCCGAGCCACUGUAGUAGACUCGGGGUGAGCCGUUCCUAAGGAGCAGGCUAACGCCGGACAAGAGUGGGCCUAUUAACCAUAGUAGGCCCCGGUCU
rnacentral:rRNA from 1 species